UACAGAGGGUGCAAGCGUUGCUCGGAUUUACUGGGCGUAAAGCGUACGCAGACGGUAAGAAAGGUCGGAUGUGAAAGCCCCGGGCUCAACCCGGGAACUGCAUCCGAAACCAUCUUGCUAGAGUAUGGGAGAGGGAAGCGGAAUUCCUGGUGUAGAGGUGAAAUUCGUAGAUAUCAGGAGGAACACCGGCGGCGAAGGCGGCUUCCUGGCCCAUUACUGACGUUCGGGUACGAAAGCGUGGGUAGCAAACAGG
rnacentral:rRNA from 1 species